UUCAGAAAAUAUGGUUUAAGUGAUGAUACAGUGGAUUUUGUUGGACAUGCACUUGCUCUUCAUAGAGAUGAUCGUUAUCUCGAUGAACCGGCACUUGAUACAGUGAAAAGGAUGAAACUAUAUGCAGACUCUCUUGCACGCUUUCAAGGAGGAUCACCUUAUAUCUAUCCACUAUAUGGGCUGGGUGAGCUACCACAGGGUUUUGCACGACUGAGUGCUGUUUAUGGUGGUACUUACAUGUUAAACAAGCCAGAUUGCAAGGUUUAAUUCGAUAUGGAGGGGAAAGUGUGUGGUGUCACAUCUGAAGGUGAAACUGCAAAGUGCAAGAAGGUGGUGUGUGAUCCUUUCA